UACGUAGGGGGCAAGCGUUGUCCGGAAUCAUUGGGCGUAAAGAGCGUGUAGGCGGCCCGGUAAGUCCGCUGUGAAAGUCCAGGGCUCAACCCUGGGAUGCCGGUGGAUACUGUCGGGCUCGAGUCCGGAAGAGGAGUGUGGAAUUCCUGGUGUAGCGGUGAAAUGCGCAGAUAUCAGGAGGAACACCGGUGGCGAAGGCGGGUCUCUGGGCCGUAACUGACGCUGAGGAGCGAAAGCGUGGGGAGCGAACAGG
rnacentral:rRNA from 1 species